rnacentral:rRNA from 1 species
AUUGAACGCUGGCGGCAUGCUUUACACAUGCAAGUCGAACGGUAACAGGCCGCAAGGUGCUGACGAGUGGCGAACGGGUGAGUAAUGCAUCGGAACGUGCCCAGUCGUGGGGGAUAACGCAGCGAAAGCUGCGCUAAUACCGCAUACGAUCUAUGGAUGAAAGCGGGGGACCGUAAGGCCUCGCGCGAUUGGAGCGGCCGAUGUCAGAUUAGGUAGUUGGUGGGGUAAGGGCUCACCAAGCCAACGAUCUGUAGCUGGUCUGAGAGGACGACCAGCCACACUGGGACUGAGACACGGCCCAGACUCCUACGGGAGGCAGCAGUGGGGAAUUUUGGACAAUGGGCGCAAGCCUGAUCCAGCAAUGCCGCGUGCAGGAAGAAGGCCUUCGGGUUGUAAACUGCUUUUGUACGGAACGAAACGGUCCUGGUUAAUACCCGGGGCUAAUGACGGUACCGUAAGAAUAAGCACCGGCUAACUACGUGCCAGCAGCCGCCGCAGUAA